UGGGGAAUUUUCCGCAAUGGGCGCAAGCCUGACGCAGCAACGCCGCGUGGGGGAUGAAGGCCCUCGGGUUGUAAACCCCUUUCAGCAGGGACGAAAAUGACGGUACCUGCAGAAGAAGCCCCGGCCAACUACGUGCCAGCAGCCGCGGUAAUACGUAGGGGGCAAGCGUUGUCCGGAAUUAUUGGGCGUAAAGAGCUCGUAGGCGGUUCGGUAAGUCGGGUGUGAAAAUCCAGGGCUCAACCCUGGGACGCCACCCGAUACUGCUGUGACUAGAGUCCGGUAGAGGAGUGUGGAAUUCCUGGUGUAGCGGUGAAAUGCGCAGAUAUCAGGAGGAACACCAGCGGCGAAGGCGGCACUCUGGGCCGGUACUGACGCUGAGGAGCGAAAGCGUGGGGAGCAAACAGGAUUAGAUACCCGUGUAGUCC
rnacentral:rRNA from 1 species